rnacentral:tRNA from 1 species
AAAGGGAGACCUAAUUCAGGUAAAAGACGAAAAAAAAGUAGUCGCUACCAAGAAUCAAUCCCAAAAGGUCGGAGCGAGGCGAAAUUGGCUUUCAAACUAGGUUCUGAGUUCAAACAAGACCUGAAUCAGGAACAAGGGCUAUUAGCUCAGGUGGUUAGAGCGCACCCCUGAUAAGGGUGAGGUCCCUGGUUCGAGUCCAGGAUGGCCCACCUGCACAGGUGGCAAAAACAAGAGAAGCGAGGAAUCAGCACCUUAUCUUACUGACAUAGUAAGAGAGAAUGCUGGCUCUGAGUAAAGAGUCCAGAGGAACCUUGAAAACUGCAUAGAGCUAGGUGAAAAAGCCAAAAAAGAAGACCGCAAG